UACGUAGGGGGCAAGCGUUAUCCGGAUUUACUGGGUGUAAAGGGAGCGUGGACGGCCAGACAAGUCUGAAGUGAAAAUCCAGCGCUUAACGUUGGAAGUGCUUUGGAAACUGCCGGGCUGGAGUGCAGGAGGGGCAGGCGGAAUUCCUAGUGUAGCGGUGAAAUGCGUAGAUAUUAGGAGGAACACCAGUGGCGAAGGCGGCCUGCUGGACUGCAACUGACGUUGAGGCUCGAAGGCGUGGGGAGCAAACAGG
rnacentral:rRNA from 1 species